CAUUGAAUGGCUGAAAUAUUUAAGCAUUGGUCUCUUAAACCACAUUAUAGUGUAACAAUCACUUUCAAUGA
rnacentral:tRNA from 1 species